GCCUUUAGGGAAAAACACUGGUCAUAUCAUGACUGUUUUACUAGCUGUGAGGCCACCAUUGUACUGACUACCGUAACAUUUCUUGGUUUUCUUUCUAGACCUGAACUAGUUAUUUCCUACUUGCCUCCUGGAAUGGCUAAUAAACACUAAAGCUUCGCAGUUUCUGAAAAGAUCAUGAAGCUUUGAGAGUAAUGAAAAGCUUCCUGACAUUGAGGUCACUGUGGAAGAACCACCUAAGCUGAAGAUGCCUUUGAGAACAAGGGCAAGCCUGUGAUUUCAUGGCCUUUCUUCCAUUUGUGGUUCUUGCCAAGUGGAAUUUAAGUGACCUCUUAUCAAGAUGGAUAAACCCAAGUUUCCCAGUGCCAGAAUACAGAAAAUGGAUGGACAACUGAAUCUACCGUGAAAGACUUCAGAGACCAGGAAGAGAGACUGACUGGGCAACAUCUUAUUCAGGUACGAAAAGACUUGGACUAUGACUCAAAAAUGGUCAAAUAACAGUACAUGCAUCAAGUGCAAUGGGAAGCUCUUCCGGAGGGUGAGAGAAGCUUCCAGUUAAGGUGACAUUGAAGCCAGGUCCUGAAAGAUGAG
ensembl:lncRNA